rnacentral:rRNA from 1 species
CUUUUCGACUCGCGAAUGCUCUCGAUUAUAUNUUGAUCCUGGCUCAGAGUGAACGCUGGCGGUAGGCCUAACACAUGCAAGUCGGACGGCAGCACAGGAGAGCUUGCUCUCUGGGUGGCGAGUGGCGGACGGGUGAGGAAUACAUCGGAAUCUACUCUGUCGUGGGGGAUAACGUAGGGAAACUUACGCUAAUACCGCAUACGACCUACGGGUGAAAGCAGGGGAUCUUCGGACCUUGCGCGAUUGAAUGAGCCGAUGUCGGAUUAGCUAGUUGGCGGGGUAAAGGCCCACCAAGGCGACGAUCCGUAGCUGGUCUUGAGAGGAUGAUCAGCCACACUGGAACUGAGACACGGUCCAGACUCCUACGGGAGGCAGCAGUGGGGAAUAUUGGACAAUGGGCGCAAGCCUGAUCCAGCCAUACCGCGUGGGUGAAGAAGGCCUUCGGGUUGUAAAGCCCUUUGUUUGGGAAACGAAAUCCAGCCGGCUAAUACCGUGGUUGGGAUGACGGUUACCCCAAAGAAUAAGCACCGGCUAACUUCGAGUUGCCUAGCCAGAACCCGCGGGGUUAAAUAACUGGAAAGGGGNCUGGCCNAANGGCCGUUUAACUGCCGGCGGAAGUAUAUCUGCGGGGCGGNAAAAAACAGGCNNGCGAUGUAUGAGAGGGGNGGCACACUAUGAAGGAGGUCACCGCC